rnacentral:rRNA from 1 species
GAUGAAUGCUGGCGGCGUGCCUAAUACAUGCAAGUCGAGCGAACAGACGAGGAGCUUGCUCCUCUGACGUUAGCGGCGGACGGGUGAGUAACACGUGGAUAACCUACCUAUAAGACUGGGAUAACUUCGGGAAACCGGAGCUAAUACCGGAUAAUAUAUUGAACCGCAUGGUUCAAUAGUGAAAGACGGUUUUGCUGUCACUUAUAGAUGGAUCCGCGCCGCAUUAGCUAGUUGGUAAGGUAACGGCUUACCAAGGCGACGAUGCGUAGCCGACCUGAGAGGGUGAUCGGCCACACUGGAACUGAGACACGGUCCAGACUCCUACGGGAGGCAGCAGUAGGGAAUCUUCCGCAAUGGGCGAAAGCUUGACGGAGCAACGCCGCGUGAGUGAUGAAGGUCUUCGGAUCGUAAAACUCUGUUAUUAGGGAAGAACAAAUGUGUAAGUAACUAUGCACGUCUUGACGGUACCUAAUCAGAAAGCCACGGCUAACUACGUG